rnacentral:ncRNA from 2 species
CCACCCACCCGCGGGAGUCCGGUGCACCGGACUGAGAGGGGAGCUUGGUAGCUCCCGACCGUCGAACCUGAUCUGGGUAAUGCCAGCGCAGGGAAGGAGCCCUGGUUGAGU